rnacentral:rRNA from 1 species
UACACGACUCUCAAUAAUGAAUAUCUAGGCUCUCGCAUUGAUGAAGAACGUAGCAAACUGCGAUACUUGGUGUGAAUUGCAGAAUCCCGUGAACCAUCGAGUCUUCGAAAGGGUCGCGGGCAGGCCAGGGAGGGGCA